rnacentral:lncRNA from 1 species
GCCGUGAUAUAUGUCUCGCUCCCUUUCGCUUACAGAAAGGAUUUCUUCCGACAGACGUGACCCCAGAAGGCUGCCGAGGGAGACUUUAGGACAAGAGGCGUUGUUUUUUUAGGGAAGGAAGAGGAGCCUGUGCAGAGUUGAAGUGGGGUGGAGAGGUGCCUUGUAAAGUAUGGUUUCCAGAGAUGGUGAGACCUCGUAGCUAAGCGUUGUUUCCUCUGCACGUAACUUUUCAGCGUGGCCGCAUUUGGAAAAGGCUGAAGGUAGAAAACUCUGGAAUGGAGAGGCUGGCGACUGGAGCAGGAUCCAGGGGCUUUAAAUUUUAACCUGAGUGCGAUCGAAUGCGCGACUCCCAGAAGAGAUAGCCAGGCGUCCGCCCGGCCGCUCAACCCCUGCCAGGACUCGGAAUGCCUUGCUUUUGGUUCUUUUCUACAAGGAUGUCUGCGUGGAUAUCCCUGGACACUCGAUACCCCCCGGGGACCUG